GCAUUUUUAUGCUCACACGUAUACUAAAAUUGGAAGGAUACAAAGAAGAUUGGCAUGGCCCCUGCACAAGGAUGAUACGCAAAUUUGUGAAGUGUUCCAUAUUUUU